UACGGGGGGGGGCAAGCGUUGUUCGGAAUUACUGGGCGUAAAGAGCUCGUAGGCGGCUCGGUAAGUCGGGUGUGAAACCUCCAGGCUCAACCUGGAGACGCCACCUGAUACUACCGUGGCUAGAGUCCGGUAGAGGAGCGUAGAAUUCCUGGUGUAGCGGUGAAAUGCGCAGAUAUCAGGAGGAAUACCAGCGGCGAAGGCGGCGCUCUGGGCCGGUACUGACGCUGAGGAGCGAAAGCGUGGGGAGCAAACAGG
rnacentral:rRNA from 1 species